rnacentral:rRNA from 1 species
AUAAGCCCGCCGGCGUUCCCUGUUGUACUGAAGUGUGCGAGCCUUCGGGAACCUUGGAUCGCUGCCAUGA